rnacentral:misc_RNA from 1 species
CGCCCAUAAGUCACAUAAAGCAGAUUAAUUUGCUAUAAUGCUUCACAAUUCAAAUAAAUGAAUAUAAGAUAUUUCUAGAACAUUUCAAAAUAACUACUCUUUUCCAUCACACAACUCACGCAAGAGGAACUACUCGGUGCUACUUCUAAAGCAAAUAUGGAAUUCCCUAUACCAAUAUUGGCAAUUAAUAGUUCACCCGAGAACUCUAACAAUGCUUCUGCACUAAAAUGCCAAGUUUCUACAGAUACGGGCUAUAAAUGGUAACAGUUUGC